AUACGCUGUCUCUUCAUAGAAACUUUCUCCAGUGCUCGCCUGCCCACAGACCUGGUUAGAGGCCCCGCUUUUUAUGGCCCCCCGGACUUAACCACGUCACAGAAAUCAUCACAUUGUGUUGAGCCUCCUGGGUUUCUUUGGACUGGAAGCUCCCUGAGGGCAGGGUUAUCUUGUUCGUCCUUUCAUCCCCAGGGCCUGGCAUAAGACCUGGCGAAGAGCUGCUGCAUGCUAAAGCUUUGCUAAUUGAAUGACUGUGUGUUAUUUCUUAAAUUCAAUGAGAAAUCACUCUACAAAGUCCAGGAGAAUGAAAGUCUCAAUAACCGAGCUUUCUCUCCCCUGAGCACCUACACAGGAAACUCAAUUACAGUUGCAAGAGGCCUCGAAGACCUGCAGGAUUUAGAAGAAUCCAGGCAUCUCCGGGCCCCUGGCUGGGGCUUCUGCAUCUGACAAUAGAGAUGGCUUUGCUCAGGGGAAGAAUACUUUGGGCUCUGACUCACUCCAUGAGCACUGGAAGAGGAAAGUGCCCUGUGAAAGUAUGGACACGUGGUGAUCACCAAAUGGUGACGGAGGCGGAGAGUGGAGUGACGCAACCACAAGCCCCAAACAACAAGGUCUCUGGACUCAGUGGACUGAUGGGCUCUCGGCUUCCACCCUGGAUGGCGCUGAACGUGGGGAAGUUCUUUACUUCCAUUCUCACGUGAGAAACUAGAGCACUGUGACUUACAAAGAGUAAGAAAACUAGAAACUUUUGUUUGGUUUGCCAAUGUAUUGGCAGCAUGAUUGGGACAGAAUCCAGGUCGUGCCCCAGGAGAAAGCUAUUCGUGACACCAUCUCUUCGCACCCUGAAAACAUAUUUAUUAAUUCAGUGUUUGACGUGUGUUUGUAAUUACUGAUGUGUAUUUAUGGGUUUCAGGUGAUUUUUUUAAAUCUUAGAAUCUCUGCCCCUUAUUGAGGGUGGUCUUAAGGUAAUAGGACAUUUACUGAAACAACCUUCUGUACCAAACAUGAUGCCUUCUUUUACCUCCGUGGCUUCCAGCUUCAACCUGUACUCCAUGUUCCUUCCAGACUCUGUGCUCCAUCCACAGCAAACAUUGCAGCUUGCUAAGCAGCCUGUGCUGUUGCUUCUGGGCCUUUGCAUCGGAUGUGGUCCCUGCUUAACAGACCUUCCCUAGCUCUUUGCCUGCACACAAUAUUCAGCUCACCCUUCAAUUCAACGCAGCUAACUCACCUUUUCUUCUCUAACAGCCUCAUCCCCUCCCCUAGAGACUUAUCCACUUCUCUUUGUGCUACACUGGUAUACUAGGCAUUUCUGUCAUUUUUUUUCCUGUAUAACAUCCUCUGAAUGUAGCAUCUAUUUAGUAAUUAUCCUAUUUGAGGAUGGAACUGUCUUUAAAAGAAUCUUCAAGAUAUAUACAACCAAAAAUGGCAAACAGAGUAACACCUACACAAGUUUGGUACAGUGCCAGAAACACAUGCUUUAUUUUUCUGGACAAAUUAAAGAAAUUCACCUUUGGUCACGUCCACUUCUAUAUUUGGACAUUUUCAUGUGGUUUCUGGGUACUUCUCUCUUCUUCAUUCCUCUUGUUUUUUUUCCUGGCUUAUUUUUACAUUAGUAGUUCAAUUUUUAAAGUUCCUGAAACAAAUGCAAAAAGUUGGUAUGGUAUUAUUCAAAGUAUAAGAUCAAUUUGUAGAUCUUAGGAAAUUCUAAUUCUAUGAGUCACUUUACUUCUUCUGUAUGGGUCUCCUUUUAUUCACUUAAACUGUUAAUGUAACAAGAAUUUAUCUACUGAGUGAUUGCACCAAGCACCCUGUCCUUAUUCCUUGCAGGGAAAUAGUAGGAGUGAAGAAUCUCCUUAGUCAUUAUUUUAAAGUAUUUUUUUCAAGUCAGUGAAACUACAACAGUAAUGACAAAGUUAAAAGCAUUUAGAUUACAACUUCAAACAGUGAUUAUAUC
rnacentral:lncRNA from 1 species